CCGUCUCUGUCUGCCAGCAAUUUGCAUUGUGUGUUGCCUAACUUUCUUUUUCUUUUCAAAGUCCCUGUUACCGUUUUAAUCUCUUUUAUGGAAAAAAUUUAAGGACAUUGUUGGAUAUUUCUUUUUAAUUUCCAUUUUCUCAUCCAUUUCUUAUGCUUGUUGCUAAACCGUUGUUCAAUUUACUUGGUUGGGUUACUAGUAUGAUGUUCUUAUAUAUACCCUAUGCAGUAUGGCGGAUUUGCCCUCCUUUUCAACUGAAGAAUUUUUUUGGCUAGCAUCAUUCUUUUGGGGGCAUCAUCACCUGCAAACUAUACACUCUAAUCUUGGCACUCGGGAAACCAUCCUCAGCCUUAUCUAGUUCGUGUUACUUAAAUUUUUUUCCUAAAUCUUGUUGAUAGAUUAGCUCCAUAGGUAGCUUUUUUUUUCUGGGAAUGGUAAUAGUUAUUGUAAUAAGGCCCAAUUGGCCCAGACCUUUUCAACCCAAUAAUCCUAAACCUAGCCCACAAAAAAAUAGACUAGCAGAAACCCUAGCUUCUGCUUAGCGCCGCAGCAAGCUGGCACCGCUCGUCCUCGCUCGCCGCCGCGAAUCUCGCACCACGACCCUCCCCAACAUGCGCCGCUUCAUGCCACGUUAUACCUGCGACAACAAACAAUACGACAAAGAAGAGAAAGCAGAACAGAAUAGCAAAAAUCGGGCAGCAAUAGGCCAACAAAUAACAGAAUAGAUUUCUUUGGAUUUUUUCUUCUUUUCUUUUCUUCUCCAUUCCGGCUAUAAAAGGCCGAUUUCAAAUCUGUAAAGGGGGGAUUUGGAGUGUAAAAAAAACACAAACAGAAAUCAGAGAAAAGAUUAAAAGUACAGAUUCGAUUUUUUUU